AAAUUGAAGAGUUUGAUCAUGGCUCAGAUUGAACGCUGGCGGCAGGCCUAACACAUGCAAGUCGAGCGGUAGCACAGAGAGCUUGCUCUCGGGUGACGAGCGGCGGACGGGUGAGUAAUGUCUGGGAAACUGCCUGAUGGAGGGGGAUAACUACUGGAAACGGUAGCUAAUACCGCAUAAUGUCGCAAGACCAAAGUGGGGGACCUUCGGGCCUCAUGCCAUCAGAUGUGCCCAGAUGGGAUUAGCUAGUAGGUGGGGUAACGGCUCACCUAGGCGACGAUCCCUAGCUGGUCUGAGAGGAUGACCAGCCACACUGGAACUGAGACACGGUCCAGACUCCUACGGGAGGCAGCAGUGGGGAAUAUUGCACAAUGGGCGCAAGCCUGAUGCAGCCAUGCCGCGUGUGUGAAGAAGGCCUUCGGGUUGUAAAGCACUUUCAGCGGGGAGGAAGGCGGUGAGGUUAAUAACCUCAUCGAUUGACGUUACCCGCAGAAGAAGCACCGGCUAACUCCGUGCCAGCAGCCGCGGUAAUACGGAGGGUGCAAGCGUUAAUCGGAAUUACUGGGCGUAAAGCGCACGCAGGCGGUCUGUCAAGUCGGAUGUGAAAUCCCCGGGCUCAACCUGGGAACUGCAUUCGAAACUGGCAGGCUAGAGUCUUGUAGAGGGGGGUAGAAUUCCAGGUGUAGCGGUGAAAUGCGUAGAGAUCUGGAGGAAUACCGGUGGCGAAGGCGGCCCCCUGGACAAAGACUGACGCUCAGGUGCGAAAGCGUGGGGAGCAAACAGGAUUAGAUACCCUGGUAGUCCACGCCGUAAACGAUGUCGAUUUGGAGGUUGUGCCCUUGAGGCGUGGCUUCCGGAGCUAACGCGUUAAAUCGACCGCCUGGGGAGUACGGCCGCAAGGUUAAAACUCAAAUGAAUUGACGGGGGCCCGCACAAGCGGUGGAGCAUGUGGUUUAAUUCGAUGCAACGCGAAGAACCUUACCUGGUCUUGACAUCCACAGAACUUAGCAGAGAUGCUUUGGUGCCUUCGGGAACUGUGAGACAGGUGCUGCAUGGCUGUCGUCAGCUCGUGUUGUGAAAUGUUGGGUUAAGUCCCGCAACGAGCGCAACCCUUAUCCUUUGUUGCCAGCGGUUAGGCCGGGAACUCAAAGGAGACUGCCAGUGAUAAACUGGAGGAAGGUGGGGAUGACGUCAAGUCAUCAUGGCCCUUACGACCAGGGCUACACACGUGCUACAAUGGCAUAUACAAAGAGAAGCGACCUCGCGAGAGCAAGCGGACCUCAUAAAGUAUGUCGUAGUCCGGAUUGGAGUCUGCAACUCGACUCCAUGAAGUCGGAAUCGCUAGUAAUCGUAGAUCAGAAUGCUACGGUGAAUACGUUCCCGGGCCUUGUACACACCGCCCGUCACACCAUGGGAGUGGGUUGCAAAAGAAGUAGGUAGCUUAACCUUCGGGAGGGCGCUUACCACUUUGUGAUUCAUGACUGGGGUGAAGUCGUAACAAGGUAACCGUAGGGGAACCUGCGGUUGGAUCACCUCCUUACCUUAAAGAA
rnacentral:rRNA from 4 species